rnacentral:rRNA from 1 species
GACGAACGCUGGCGGCGUGCUUAACACAUGCAAGUCGAACGGAAAGGCCCUGCUUUUGUGGGGUGCUCGAGUGGCGAACGGGUGAGUAACACGUGAGUAACCUGCCCUUGACUUUGGGAUAACUUCAGGAAACUGGGGCUAAUACCGGAUAGGAGCCCCUGCUCCAGGGUGGGGGUUGGAAAGUUUCGGCGGUUGGGGAUGGACUCGCGGCUUAUCAGCUUGUUGGUGGGGUAGUGGCUUACCAAGGCUUUGACGGGUAGCCGGCCUGAGAGGGUGACCGGCUACAUUGGGACUGGGGUACGGCCCAGACUCCUACGGGAGGCAGCAGUGGGGAAUAGUGCACAAUGGGCGGAAGCCUGAUGCAGCAACUCCGCGUGCGGGAUGACGGCCUUCGGGUUGUAAACCGCUUUCGCCUGUGACGAAGCGUGAGUGACGGUAAUGGGUAAAGAAGCACCGGCUAACUACGU